UACGUAGGGCGCGAGCGUUGUCCGGAAUUAUUGGGCGUAAAGAGCUCGUAGGCGGCCUGUUGCGUCCGCUGUGAAAUCCCAGGGCUUAACCCUGGGCGUGCAGUGGAUACGGGCAGGCUGGAGGCAGGCAGGGGAGAACGGAAUUCCCGGUGUAGCGGUGAAAUGCGCAGAUAUCGGGAGGAACACCUGUGGCGAAAGCGGCGCACUGGACCACAACUGACGCUGAGGCGCGAAAGCUAGGGGAGCAAACAGG
rnacentral:rRNA from 1 species